CGGUUGAGAGGGCUGCAUUAGCGGUCCGUUAGCUUCGGCUACUCGGCUG
rfam:Acidobacteria bacterium OLB17 TZ17_ACD001CONTIG000061, whole genome shotgun sequence.